UGUCAGAAUGAUGUGCUGAUAUGUCACAUUGAUAUCUGGGUUUUUAAUUGGCCCAAAGAUAAGGUAGGGAGGAGUAAUUGCUUGAUUACAUUCAAUGAGCUAUCAUAAUUUAUUUCGAAUUUUAUAUUACGGACUCGCAAACUCCUGGGGAUCCCGCCAGGCCCGGUUUGAGAACCACUGCUCUUGAUGAAAUAAUAACCUUUUCCUUUUUCUUGUCAGCGUACGCAUCCGACAUAUGACUCAGAGGUGACAUUGAUUAUUCAAAGGUGAUUCGAGGCGUAACGACUGUGACGACAGCAGAGAGCUGUGUACAGGUGGCAAAAGGAGCAAUUACGCCAAAAGUCAAACAUUGACCGCAGCCGUUUGGAAUGCCCUGAAGAGAAGAAAAUCAAAGAAACACGCAUCCGAUGUUGUGUCGAGUGUCAAACGAUGCUCGCUACAAAGACGCGCGUUGAGAUCCUCAUUUACGAAGAUGUAUCAUUGUAUCAGUCAAGGAUUGAGCGAGAAUAUACGCCACCAAAUUAGCGGGGAGACACGGCGGCGGAGUGAACAAAACAGCGCAUGAGCAAAUGUUUACCCAAGGAACACAUCGCCAAAUCUGAGGCCGUGGUCCUCGGUCGGAAAAGGGACGGCGCUACGUCUGUAUCGAUCCGUCGUGGCGAUGAAGGAGCUGAGCGGAAAAGCCGAAGCUUUGGAUUUCUACGUUCCCGGGGUCAGGACCAAAAGAACAAGCUUGUGGACACAAAGGGCCGCAAUGAGUUUCCUUCGCAGGGUGUCUGGGCUGUCCCUUCCAGAUGAGAUGCCUCCUGGAUGCCGGCGUUCCGGCACGCCCCAGAACACACCGGAGAGACGAUGUCUCUCGGCUGACCUAGGAAGGAGCGCUGGACCAAGUGGCCACGGGGCAGAAGGAAGUCCGGGCUUCCCCGCUGAGGCUGUUGGCCCUUACGAACCCAACGCCAGAUAAGCGGAAAAAGCGGACGGUCAAGUGACACAAGUGUUUGUUGAUAGUGUUUCAUUGAUUGGGGUGAUUCCAACGUUUCAAUGAGUGGUGUUUCCUCUCUCGCCAUCUGCUCUGACUCAAGGAACUUUCUCCUUCCAUUACCCGGCAUUCCCUCCUCGUCUGCUCCGCCAGACGUGAGCUUUUUACGGGAAUACCGCCGAGGACUCAUCGCCGGGCCUCGGCCUUUAUGAAUCAGCGGAACAUGCUGCAAACAUUUGCACUCUUUAACAUGCUUUCCAGGCAGCGGCUCCUUCAUGUUUGCAAUGUAAAUCAUUGCUGAGC